CGACUUAUAUUCUGUAGCAAGGUUAACCGUAUAGGGGAGCCGCAGGGAAACCGAGUCUUAACUGGGCGUUAAGUUGCAGGGUAUAGACCCGAAACCCGGUGAUCUAGCCAUGGGCAGGUUGAAGGUUGGGUAACACUAACUGGAGGACCGAACCGACUAAUGUUGAAAAAUUAGCGGAUGACUUGUGGCUGGGGGUGAAAGGCCAAUCAAACCGGGAGAUAGCUGGUUCUCCCCGAAAGCUAUUAGGUAGCGCCUCGUGAACUCAUCUUCGGGGGUAGAGCACUGUUUCGGCUAGGGGGUCAUCCCGACUUACCAACCCGAUGCAAACUACGAAUACCGAAGAAUGUUAUCACGGGAGACACACGGCGGGUGCUAACGUCCGUCGUGAAGAGGGAAACAACCCAGACCGCCAGCUAAGGUCCCAAAGUCAUGGUUAAGUGGGAAACGAUGUGGGAAGGCACAGACAGCCAGGAUGUUGGCUUAGAAGCAGCCAUCAUUUAAAGAAAGCGUAAUAGCUCACUGGUCGAGUCGGCCUGCGCGGAAGAUGUAACGGGGCUAAACCAUGCACCGAAGCUGCGGCAGCGACACUAUGUGUUGUUGGGUAGGGGAGCGUUCUGUAAG
rnacentral:rRNA from 1 species